UAUAACAACUUUUCAGUCUUGCAUAUAUGGUAUAACAACGGUUGCUGCUGCAGGUUUCAGAUGGUGACCACAUUGACAGAUUAAUAUCUUGCCUGCAUAUGGCUCUUCCAUUUUUUAUGAGGGGUGCAUCAAGUAAUAGGUUUCUCAACUAUUUGAACAAGAAUAUUGUACCUGUUUUUGAUAAGGUAAUUAGUACUUUCCACUAAUUAUUUUAUUUGGAGAUU